AGUCGAGCGAACGGACGAGAAGCUUGCUUCUCUGUAUGUUAGCGGCGGACGGGUGAGUAACACGUGGAUAACCUACCUAUAAGACUGGGAUAACUUCGGGAAACCGGAGCUAAUACCGGAUAAUAUUUUGAACCGCAUGGUUCAAAAGUAAAAGACGGUCUUGCUGUCACUUAUAGAUGGAUCCGCGCUGCAUUAGCUAGUUGGUAAGGUAACGGCUUACCAAGGCAACGAUGCAUAGCCGACCUGAGAGGGUGAUCGGCCACACUGGAACUGAGACACGGUCCAGACUCCUACGGGAGGCAGCAGUAGGGAAUCUUCCGCAAUGGGCGAAAGCCUGACGGAGCAACGCCGCGUGAGUGAUGAAGGUCUUCGGAUCGUAAAACUCUGUUAUUAGGGAAGAACAUAUGUGUAAGUAACUGUGCACAUCUUGACGGUACCUAAUCAGAAAGCCACGGCUAACUACGUGCCAGCAGCCGCGGUAAUACGUAGGUGGCAAGCGUUAUCCGGAAUUAUUGGGCGUAAAGCGCGCGUAGGCGGUUUUUUAAGUCUGAUGUGAAAGCCCACGGCUCGACCGUGGAGGGUCAUUGGAAACUGGAAAACUUGAGUGCAGAAGAGGAAAGUGGAAUUCCAUGUGUAGCGGUGAAAUGCGCAGAGAUAUGGAGGAACACCAGUGGCGAAGGCGACUUUCUGGUCU
rnacentral:rRNA from 1 species